CUCUGCAUUAAUGCUCCCACACACAUUGAUCUUUGGCCCUUUACGUCACCCGGCCUACUCCAGCUCUCUCAGGCUUUCUUCACUUUGAUCAUUCAUACCGUGGCUCUCACAGUUACUCUACACCUAAUGGCUUUCGACUUUGCCAACAGCUUGAACCACAAGACAGAAUGAAUUAAAAAUCCAAUACCUCCAAAGAAAGCCUACCUCAUAAAUUGCACUCAAGGCAUUUUGGAAGCUUCUGGACCUAAUGCAGUUUAUAAGGACCUUCUGUCAAAUGGACCACCCUGCAUGCACACAUGCCUAUGGUUCCCUGAGCCCCACCAUUUAAUGUUCGGCUGUGGGUCUGCAUCUGUCUCCAGAGUUGCUCUCAUCGUAUGUACUCACUCUAAGUAGAUAUUAGCUGUAAAAUA